GAUGAACGCUGGCGGCGUGCCUAAUACAUGCAAGUCGAGCGAACAGACGAGGAGCUUGCUCCUCUGACGUUAGCGGCGGACGGGUGAGUAACACGUGGAUAACCUACCUAUAAGACUGGGAUAAAUUCGGGAAACCGGAGCUAAUACCGGAUAAUAUAUUGAACCGCAUGGUUCAAUAGUGAAAGACGGUUUUGCUGUCACUUAUAGAUGGAUCCGCGCCGCAUUAGCUAGUUGGUAAGGUAACGGCUUACCAAGGCAACGAUGCGUAGCCGACCUGAGAGGGUGAUCGGCCACACUGGAACUGAGACACGUUCCAGACUCCUACGGGAGGCAGCAGUAGGGAAUCUUCCGCAAUGGGCGAAAGCCUGACGGAGCAACGCCGCGUGAGUGAUGAAGGUCUUCGGAUCGUAAAACUCUGUUAUUAGGGAAGAACAAAUGUGUAAGUAACUAUGCACGUCUUGACGGUACCUAAUCAGAAAGCCACGGCUAACUACGUG
rnacentral:rRNA from 1 species